CCCCAUAGUCUGGGAUACCACUUGGAAACAGGUGCUAAUACCGGAUAAGAAAGCGGAUCGCAUGAUCAGCUUUUAAAAGGCGGCGUAAGCUGUCGCUAUGGGAUGGCCCCGCGGUGCAUUAGCUAGUUGGUAAGGUAAAGGCUUACCAAGGCGAUGAUGCAUAGCCGAGUUGAGAGACUGAUCGGCCACAUUGGGACUGAGACACGGCCCAAACUCCUACGGGAGGCAGCAGCG
rnacentral:rRNA from 1 species